ACUCGUUGGGACGUGGGGACACCUGGGUCCCACAACUGCUUGGGCCUCGUAGCCUAUCUCCAGAGGGGGAUGGGACAAGCGCUUCAGGAGCCUGACCGGACAAGGUGUCUUGAAGACCUAAGCGCGUGGCAUGACUGGCUGGAGCACACCCUGCGUUCCCAGGAGGUUCACAGAUCUCUACUGGAGCCGCUGCUGAAGAUGCGGGAAUAGACCAGAGAAAAUCCCGAAAUGGUAAAAGACUGGGUCCUCUUUGCAAUUUUAGAAGUUGUACAGCGACUUUCUAGUAUAUAUGAUGGAGAGCAGAUGUGUUAAAGAAAGGUAUUAGCUAGAAGGAGCUUUCUCUGGAGGGCUGAGGUAUGGUUUUGCGAAGUUGAGUCAGGUUUUGUAAUAUAUUUUUAGUGGAGGCAAAAAUCUCUAGUUGUAGGAACCCAGUUCAAGAAGAAAAGUAUAAUAAGCCAAUACUUGCACUAUAGGAAGCAGAUUUCAUAUUUACUUCAAAAGUUUUGCUAAUUUAUAUUUAAAAUGUUUUAAGAACUAUCUUAGUCACUAAGUGGCUUCGAAAAGUUCCAACAUUUAAAAUAUCCUUUCUCAUUGAACACAUUUCAAGUUUUGUGUCCCUGAAGUUUAUUGGUGUCCCCCCAUCAACACAAACAUUCCAUCAUGGGAGGGAGGGAGCUCGUGACCCCUCAGACUGUCCUCUGCAGCAUUUUCCUGGGUAAGAUACACACUUGGAAAUGAGAGAGGUUUUUCCUGUGGAAGAUAAUGACAUGAAGCCAAAGAGCUAAUCUGACUUCUUUAGGUUUAAUGGAGAAAAUGGGUCCAUAAAUGUUUAAACAGAAGUAGAGCCCUUUGAAAUAGAUGAAAAUGUGACAUCUCUAGGCCAUCUGUGCGGUAUGUGAAGAGUGUAAAACUGUUUCUUAAAGCGGCUCUGAAAUUUCUAUCAUUUUCUCUUAAUGGGCUGGGGGCAGGGAUGCUUCAUGUAAUCAAACAUAGAGACCUUCCGAGUGGCUCCCCAAAGCUCUGGAUGAGCUCAAGACGUCAGUACUCACCCUAAUGUUAUUUAUUUAUUUUUUUGCUUACAUCUUUUCCUGGGCUCUUGCCUCUUAGAAAACCAUGGUGGAUAUUACAGCUCUGCAAAUUUUCUGGGAUGCGAAUCUCAAAUUUCCUUAGACGGAGAGGGAGUCCAAAAUCCUCUUACUCUUAAGAGUCAGACAUUCUGAGAUUGCCAGUGUUAUUCAUGUUUAAGUCUGUGUAAAUAAUUGAGCUUAUUAAUGUUUGAAGUAACACAACCCCAUUUGCACUCUUAACGGAAGGCAAACUUGUUUUAGAAAUAGUAACUCACAGUUCACUUACUUGCUGUGUGUGUGUGUGUGUGUUUAUCCAGGUGAGUCUGCAGAUCUGGCAAAGAAGAGUUCGUGGAAGACUUCAAGGUUACACUCCUGGAGUAUGCCUUGGCCAUG
ensembl:processed_transcript Kis2 Kaplan integration site 2